rnacentral:rRNA from 1 species
CCUAACACAUGCAAGUCGAACGGUAACAGGAAUAAGCUUGCUUCUUUGCUGACGAGUGGCGGACGGGUGAGUAAUGUCUGGGAAACUGCCUGAUGGAGGGGGAUAACUACUGGAAACGGUAGCUAAUACCGCAUAACGUCGCAAGACCAAAGAGGGGGACCUUCGGGCCUCUUGCCAUCGGAUGUGCCCAGAUGGGAUUAGCUAGUAGGUGGGGUAAAGGCUCACCUAGGCGACGAUCCCUAGCUGGUCUGAGAGGAUGACCAGCCACACUGGAACUGAGACACGGUCCAGACUCCUACGGGAGGCAGCAGUGGGGAAUAUUGCACAAUGGGCGCAAGCCUGAUGCAGCCAUGCCGCGUGUAUGAAGAAGGCCUUCGGGUUGUAAAGUACUUUCAGCGGGGAGGAAGGGAGUAAAGUUAAUACCUUUGCUCAUUGACGUUACCCGCAGAAGAAGCACCGGCUAACUCCGUGCCAGCAGCCGCGGUAAUACGGAGGGUGCAAGCGUUAAUCGGAAUUACUGGGCGUAAAGCGCACGCAGGCGGUUUGUUAAGUCAGAUGUGAAAUCCCCGGGCUCAACCUGGGAACUGCAUCUGAUACUGGCAAGCUUGAGUCUCGUAGAGGGGGGUAGAAUUCCAGGUGUAGCGGUGAAAUGCGUAGAGAUCUGGAGGAAUACCGGUGGCGAAGGCGGCCCCCUGGACGAAGACUGACGCUCAGGUGCGAAAGCGUGGGGAGCAAACAGGAUUAGAUACCCCUGGUAGUCCACGCCGUAAACGAUGUCGACUUGGAGGUUGUGCCCUUGAGGCGUGGCUUCCGGAGCUAACGCGUUAAGUCGACCGCCUGGGGAGUACGGCCGCAAGGUUAAAACUCAAAUGAAUUGACGGGGGCCCGCACAAGCGGUGGAGCAUGUGGUUUAAUUCGAUGCAACGCGAAGAACCUUACCUGGUCUUGACAUCCACAGAACUUUCCAGAGAUGGAUUGGUGCCUUCGGGAACUGUGAGACAGGUGCUGCAUGGCUGUCGUCAGCUCGUGUUGUGAAAUGUUGGGUUAAGUCCCGCAACGAGCGCAACCCUUAUCCUUUGUUGCCAGCGGUCCGGCCGGGAACUCAAAGGAGACUGCCAGUGAUAAACUGGAGGAAGGUGGGGAUGACGUCAAGUCAUCAUGGCCCUUACGACCAGGGCUACACACGUGCUACAAUGGCGCAUACAAAGAGAAGCGACCUCGCGAGAGCAAGCGGACCUCAUAAAGUGCGUCGUAGUCCGGAUUGGAGUCUGCAACUCGACUCCAUGAAGUCGGAAUCGCUAGUAAUCGUGGAUCAGAAUGCCACGGUGAAUACGUUCCCGGGCCUUGUACACACCGCCCGUCACACCAUGGGAGUGGGUUGCAAAAGAAGUAGGUAGCUUAACCUUCGGGAGGGCGCUUACCACUUUGUGAUUCACGACUGGGGUGAAGUCA